rnacentral:rRNA from 1 species
GCUGAGGCGUGAUGACGAGGCACUACGGUGCUGAAGCAACAAAUGCCCUGCUUCCAGGAAAAGCCUCUAAGCAUCAGGUAACAUCAAAUCGUACCCCAAACCGACACAGGUGGUCAGGUAGAGAAUACCAAGGCGCUUGAGAGAACUCGGGUGAAGGAACUAGGCAAAAUGGUGCCGUAACUUCGGGAGAAGGCACGCUGAUAUGUAGGUGAAGCGACUUGCUCGUGGAGCUGAAAUCAGUCGAAGAUACCAGCUGGCUGCAACUGUUUAUUAAAAACACAGCACUGUGCAAACACGAAAGUGGACGUAUACGGUGUGACGCCUGCCCGGUGC